AUUUAAUCCAUUUGUUGAAGCCCUAACUUCCAGUGUAUUUGGAGAUAGGGCUUUUAAGUAGGUUAUUAAGCUUAAAGAAUGUUAUAAGGGUGGAGCCCUAACCAACAGGACCGGUGUCUUUAUAAAAAGAGGAAGAAGCACCAAAUAUCUUUCUGUGUGUGUGUGUGCACACAGAGAAACACCACGCAAGAACACAGAAAGAAGUUGCUAUCUGUAAGCCAAGGAGAGAAGCCUCACCAGAAACCAACUCUGCUGGCAUCAUGAUCUUGGAAUUCCAGCAUCCAGAACUGAAGAAGGAGUCCUUCUGAGUAGCCACCACAGCUACAAACAUUCUGGGUCACACCUAAAGCCAGCACAAUUCUGAGUCUCACCCAAAGGCCACAAAAAAUAAUAUUACUGCGGUAGGAAGCAUUUAAGAUGACUCCCAAGAUUCCUGCCCUGUGCUGUGUGAACACUGCAUACACUCCUUUCCUUGUUGGGCAAGCUUCAAAAAUAAUUUUCACCAACUCGGGCCAUCAUAAGUUCAUACUGCUUUUGGAUCACCUGUUCUUAUGUGAUAGAAGUGUCUUCUCAUGGUAUGAAAGAAGCAUGGGUCCUUUCCAGGUCGAAGAAGAACUACAUGUGUGUGGAUCAGGUUAAUUCCAUAUACAAGACAAUGAAAUGCAAAAGAAAAGAUCUCCAGAAUCCUCAGUGCAGUCUUUCAGCCAGCAGACAAGAAAGAACAUCUGCCAUUUUCAAAAUAUUAUUGUUUCACAUCAGUUUUAGCUCAUGGUAGAUAUAAAAUCAAGCAUAAUCACAUGAAAAUGUUAUUGGUAAAUAUCUUGAUUUUUGCCUUAUUUUGG
rnacentral:lncRNA from 1 species